ACGGCUCAGUAACACGUAGUCAACCUAACCUAUGGACGGGAAUAACCUCGGGAAACUGAGAAUAAUGCCCGAUAGAACACUAUACCUGGAAUGGUUUGUGUUCCAAAUGAUUUAUCGCCAUGGGAUGGGACUGCGGCCUAUCAGUUUGUUGGUGAGGUAAUGGCCCACCAAGACUAUUACAGGUACGGGCUCUGAGAGGAGUAGCCCGGAGAUGGGUACUGAGACACGGACCCAGGCCCUAUGGGGCGCAGCAGGCGAGAAAACUUUGCAAUGUGCGAAAGCACGACAAGGUUAAUCCGAGUGAUUUGUGCUAAACGAAUCUUUUGUUAGUCCUAGAAACACUAACGAAUAAGGGGUGGGCAAGUUCUGGUGUCAGCCGCCGCGGUAAAACCAGCACCUCAAGUGGUCAGGAUGAUUAUUGGGCCUAAAGCAUCCGUAGCCGGCUCUGUAAGUUUUCGGUUAAAUCUGUACGCUUAACGUACAGGCUGCCGGGAAUACUGCAAAGCUAGGGAGUGGGAGAGGUAGACGGUACUCGGUAGGAAGUGGUAAAAUGCUUUGAUCUAUCGAUGACCACCUGUGGCGAAGGCGGUCUACCAGAACACGUCCGACGGUGAGGGAUGAAAGCUGGGGGAGCAAACCGGAUUAGAUACCCGGGUAGUCCCAGCUGUAAGCUAUGCAAACUCAGUGAUGCAUUGGCUUGUGGCCAAUGCAGUGCUGCAGGGAAGCCGUUAAGUUUGCCGCCUGGGAAGUACGUACGCAAGUAUGAAACUUAAAGGAAUUGGCGGGGGAGCAC
rnacentral:rRNA from 1 species